rnacentral:rRNA from 1 species
ACGGAGGGUGCAAGCGUUAAUCGGAAUUACUGGGCGUAAAGCGCACGUAGGCUGUAGUGUAAGUCAGGGGUGAAAGCCCACGGCUCAACCGUGGAACUGCCUUUGAUACUGCACAACUUGAAUCCGGGAGAGGGUGGCGGAAUGCCAGGUGUAGGGGUGAAAUCCGUAGAUAUCUGGAGGAACAUCAGUGGCGGAGGCAGCCACCUGGACCGAUAUUGACGCUGAUGUGCGACAGCGUGGGGAGCGAACAG